AUCCAGCUGACAAGUCCCGAAUAGGACGAAACGCGCGUUCUGAAU
rnacentral:hammerhead_ribozyme from 1 species